rnacentral:rRNA from 1 species
CGGGUGAGUAACGCGUGGGUAACCUGCCUCACACAGGGGGAUAACAGUUGGAAACGACCGCUAAUACCGCAUAACCCGCUGGUACCGCAUGGUACUGACGGAAAAGAUUUAUCGGUGUGAGAUGGACCCGCGUCUGAUUAGCCAGUUGGCAGGGUAACGGCCUACCAAAGCGACGAUCAGUAGCCGGCCUGAGAGGGUGAACGGCCACAUUGGGACUGAGACACGGCCCAAACUCCUACGGGAGGCAGCAGUGGGGAAUAUUGCACAAUGGGGGAAACCCUGAUGCAGCGACGCCGCGUGAGUGAAGAAGUAUUUCGGUAUGUAAAGCUCUAUCAGCAGGGAAGAAAAUGACGGUACCUGACUAAGAAGCCCCGGCUAACUACGUG